GAUCUGCAGUGUAGCAUCUUGUGUCAUUAAAAUGAGCUUUUCGUUAUGCGUAGAUAAUCCUUUCUACUGCAGUUUUUUCUAAAGAUUUAAUGUUAGCCAUGGAGAACUACAGAUAUGUUGCUACUGCUCUCAAUAACAUUGCUGCCUUAAAUUUAUCAGGCGCUAUCGACAAAAGUCAGUGGGAAAAAGUUGUAAUGGACUACUUUCUGGAGGACGAUCGUGCCAUGCUGACUCUCUCUGAGUCUGAAAAUGAAUCAGACAAUGAGGAAAUCCCUGAUUUAGGUCAAAACAUUUUAAUUGAGUCUUUAGUCUUCUCAUGCCAUUAAUGGGGAAGAAACGGUGAUCAACAGUAUUGUUGUCACGGAAGAAGUUGACCUAGUUUUGAAAUCAGUGGAACACAACGGGCUAAACAAGCUGUACAAACUAAACGGAAACGACACAGGACGUCUUAUUUAAUGAAAGGGGUUGCAGUCUGCCGUGAAGCUUUCAUCCAUGUACAUGGUAUCAGUAGAACACGCCUGACUCUCCUCCACCAGUCAUACAAGGAGAAUGGUCUAAUGCCUCCCAUCAAAAAGAGAGCUGGCCCAAGCAAGCAAAGGUAGCAGCUGAGUCAUCACCUACGUGCUCCAUUUCUUCACCAAGUACAGAGUUGGGGAAACACGUGUGGACCUGAAUUGUGAUAACUGCAGUGACCAAAACAAGAACAAGUUUGUGCUCUGGUACCUUCACUUCCUGAUCCCAGGUCACACCAAGUUUGCCCACGACUGGUUAUUCGGUCUCAUCAAGCAGCGCUUCAGAAAGACCAGAGUGAACACUUUGUCUGAGAUUGCUGGUGUUGUGAAAAGGACAGCACUGUGAUAGGGGUCAACAUCCCACAGCUGGUUGGACUGGAGGAACGUACGGUGCUGGUGGAAAGCUAUGGCUGGGAUAAACACCUGACUCCGUACUUCAGGCCGCUGCCACAGAUCAAGCAGUACCAGCACUUCAGCCUCGAUGCUCUGGAGCCUGGUGUUGUUGUCGCCAAGAAGCAUUCUGACUGUCGGGCGCAACACUGACAUUAUUUCUCCCAUAGAUGGUCUGCCUGUAUGAGCACCACCUGGACUGGACACAGCUGUCUGGUUUAAUAUAAGGAAUUUGAAAUGAUUUAUUCUUAAGUAUGACAAUUUAGUACUUUUUCCACCACUGGAUGUGCCUGGGGGUUAUAGCAUUUCUUUCACAUGACCCAUCAAUUUAGAUAAGUGUGUCUGGGUAACCGUUAUCUAAUAAUUAUAAAAUAUCUGGACACUCUGUUUACCUGGAAUUUUCCCUUAUUGUAGGCUACUACCAGUAUUAGUCUUAACUUUACUACACUACUCACUGUUUAGCACAUGACUUCAUGUGAAUCCUUAAAGAGAUGUGUGGGGCUGGCUUAAGAGGGUGUGAACAAUGCUGAAUGGGUGUAGUCAAAGGAGAGCUCUCCAGUAGGUACCACCACACUCAAAGGCCCUUUUCUCAAAACUGAGUUUACAAGUGUAUCAACUUUCAAAGCAGAAUUACUUUCCCAUUGUUCCUCAAAAAUGAUGUGUAUGAUAUACCAUUUUGUAGCUCUGAGUCUCUACUUUUAUCCAAUGUAAAAAUACUAAAUAAAUCAAAUUUUACUACAUAA